GUGAAUUCAAUAAUGAUGCCUCAUAUAUAUUUAGGAAUAAGGCCUAAGUGUUUCUACCAGGUAGCCGUAAACAACCUGACUAUGAAGGUAGACCUUUCUUAA
rnacentral:ncRNA from 2 species